GCUUCUCGCCCACACCGAGAUGCCAUCUGUUUAAACCAGAUCAUUUUGA
rnacentral:tRNA from 1 species